UACGGAGGGGGCUAGCGUUGUUCGGAAUUACUGGGCGUAAAGCGCACGUAGGCGGCUUUACAAGUCAGGGGUGAAAGCCCGCGGCUCAACCGCGGAAUUGCCCUUGAGACUGUAUCGCUUGAACACGGGAGAGGUGAGUGGAAUUCCGAGUGUAGAGGUGAAAUUCGUAGAUAUUCGGAAGAACAUCAGUGGCGAAGGCGGCUCACUGGACCGUAGUUGACGCUGAGGUGCGAAAGCGUGGGGAGCAAACAGG
rnacentral:rRNA from 1 species